rnacentral:rRNA from 1 species
GUAGGUGGCAAGCGUUGUCCGGAAUUAUUGGGCGUAAAGCGCGCGCAGGCGGUUCUUUAAGUCUGAUGUGAAAGCCCACGGCUCAACCGUGGAGGGUCAUUGGAAACUGGAGAACUUGAGUACAGAAGAGGAAAGCGGAAUUCCACGUGUAGCGGUGAAAUGCGUAGAGAUGUGGAGGAACACCAGUGGCGAAGGCGGCUUUCUGGUCUGUAACUGACGCUGAGGCGCGAAAGCGUGGGGAGCAAACAGGGAUUAGAUACCCUGGUAGUCCACGCCGUAAACGAUGAGUGCUAAGUGUUAGGGGGGUUCCCCGCCCCCUUAGUGCUGCAGCUAACGCAUUAAGCACUCCGCCUGGGGAUACGGCCGCAAGGCUG